rnacentral:lncRNA from 1 species
AUCCUACUCUGGUAUAGUCGACCUUGCUAGAAAGAUUGAAAAUAAGGGGCGUGAGGAGUGUGCAGCUAGUGAUUUACGUAAGAAGGCCAAGAAAGUAGGGGCUUUCGGUGGUGGUUUUAGUGAAAAUAGAAGAGCGGGAAAUCAGGGACAACAACAACAACAGGGUUCUCAGACAGGGACACACAUGUCUUCACAGUCCACAUACAGACCACCUUAC